rnacentral:misc_RNA from 1 species
CGUAGGUGAACCUGCGGAAGGAUCAUUCAUAAUAAGUGUUUUAUGGCACUUUUUUAAAUCCAUAUCCACCUUGUGUGCAAUGUCAGGGUUGAUUUUUCUCUCGAGAGGAUCAGCCCCAAACAUCAACUAUAUCUCAACUCUUUGUCUAAAAAAUAUUAUGAAUAAAACAAUUCAAAAUACAACUUUCAACAACGGAUCUCUUGGCUCUC